rnacentral:tRNA from 1 species
GGUAGCGUGGCCGAGUGGUCUAAGGCGGUGGUUUUAGGCACCAGUCAUUUCGAUGACGUGGUUCGAAUUCCACCGCUGCCA